rnacentral:lncRNA from 1 species
UCUUAGAAGAGUUUCUAGCUCUAAGAAGAGACACUUGCAGCACUUUCACUUCUGCAGUGAAUGAGUUCUUCCCCAAUGGGUGGAACUUUGAUGCUUUUGAUGAGAACCAAGUUUUGUCCACAUCAAAUCCUUCAUUUGAAGGAUUCUCCACCCCAACAGAACCUAUCUUCGAAUGUCCUUUCAGUGAAGUCUAUCCUUCUGUUGAUGGGUUCACCGUAGCAGAGAUUGAUUCAUCUUACCACAAGAAUGACGGC